UCUUCAUAUAAGCCUUUUUAUGGUGUCGCUCGAGGCGCCCAACUGUGCCAUGUUUAGUAAUAUUCCAUUGACAGGUCCCUCUAAUGCCCCAUAUGUAAAACCUUCCCCUUUUGGAACCUUCCCAAGUGGGUCCACCUUGUCAAUGCUAUGAGAGAGUUCAUGCUUAUGAUUUCAUGUGUUGUCUCAUUAUUAUUUAUUCCCUUG
rnacentral:lncRNA from 1 species